GCGUGCGCAGGCGGUUUUGUAAGUCUGUCGUGAAAGACCCCGGGCCUCAACCUGGGAAUUGCGAUGGAGACUGCAAGGCUUGAAUCUGGCAGAGGGGGGUAGGAAUUCCACGUGUAGCAGUGAAAUGCGUAGAGAUGUGGAGGAACACCGAUGGCGAAGGCAGCCCCCUGGGUCAAGAUUGACGCUCAUGCACGAAAGCGUGGGGAGCAAACAGGAUUAGAUACCCCUGU
rnacentral:rRNA from 1 species